rnacentral:rRNA from 1 species
AGAGUUUGAUCAUGGCUCAGGAUGAACGCUAGCUACAGGCUUAACACAUGCAAGUCGAGGGGCAGCAUGUUGGUUGCUUGCAACCAACGAUGGCGACCGGCGCACGGGUGAGUAACGCGUAUCCAACCUACCCUUGUCCAUCGGAUAACCCGUCGAAAGGCGGCCUAACACGAUAUGCGGUUCACAGCAGGCAUCUAACGUGAACGAAAUGUGAAGGAGAAGGAUGGGGAUGCGUCUGAUUAGCUUGUUGGCGGGGUAACGGCCCACCAAGGCGACGAUCAGGUAGGGGUUCUGAGAGGAAGGUCCCCCANAUUGGAACUGAGACACGGUCCAAACUCCGUACGGGAGCA